rnacentral:rRNA from 1 species
GAUGAACGCUGGCGGCGUGCCUAAUACAUGCAAGUCGAGCGAACAGACGAGGAGCUUGCUCCUCUGACGUUAGCGGCGGACGGGUGAGUAACACGUGGAUAACCUACCUAUAAGACUGGGAUAACUUCGGGAAACCGGAGCUAAUACCGGAUAAUAUAUUGAACCGCAUGGUUCAAUAGUGAAAGACGGUUUUGCUGUCACUUAUAGAUGGAUCCGCGCCGCAUUAGCUAGUUGGUAAGGUAACGGCUUACCAAGGCAACGAUGCGUAGCCGACCUGAGAGGGUGAUCGGCCACUCUGGAACUGAGACACGGUCCAGACUCCUACGGGAGGCAGCAGUAGGGAAUCUUCCGCAAUGGGCGAAAGCCUGACGGAGCAACGCCGCGUGAGUGAUGAAGGUCUUCGGAUCGUAAAACUCUGUUAUUAGGGAAGAACAAAUGUGUAAGUAACUAUGCACGUCUUGACGGUACCUAAUCAGAAAGCCACGGCUAACUACGU